GCCCGAGUGGAGUUUCAUGUAAAUGUUUCGUACGGGAAAAAAAUCGCCGCCGGGGAUGGAGGAGUUGGAGCCGUUGAGGACGCCCUUUAGCCUUUCUCUUAAAAAUUGCAUCACGCGCUGAGGCCGGGAUUCGACUUGGGACCGAAGAUGAUGUGGAUAGAAUCUUGACAGUCCUUUUGAUUCAGCUUUAAUCAAAUCAUAUUUAAGUUGGCUUAAUUGAAAAUAACUAUUCGCCAAGAAGACAUUCAUGAUGGUUUUUAGACGUUUCAACCGCUGGCUUCUGCCAAACAAGCUGGGGCAGGCCCCGGCAUUUGUGUCGGCGUUCAGAAUACCACGUAGUGCCACAACUGUCAUUGUCCUCGGCCUAGCAAUCUCAAUCUUCAGCUCGCAUAGAUUAUCCACAACAUGUAAAUGCAAAUUAUUGAAGUCAGAAUAGACAAUGAGUAAGAUUAUACAAAUCUGUUGUGGUGUUCAAGCCACGCUGGUAUGUUAAUUAUACAGCAAAAGCCCAGAAUGAAGAUGCAAUAACUUGAACAAGAUGAUAUGAUUUUCAACAAGGUACUAAACGAUGAGAUUCCAUCAGGAUUGUGUCUGGAUGUACCUAGGUGUUUCGUUUUUGGAUUGUUACAAUUUCAGUUUGGAAGUAUUAGAUGAUUGAAUCACUACAGACAUUUCAGUAAUAAUGAGACCCAGCAGCUUAUGUUAUGUGUUGUUUUUUUCCUGUUUUUGUUUGAAAUUGUAAGUUUGAUAUCAUCAGCUCACUGCACUGCCUUGGUAAAGUUCAGAAUUUUUUUAUUUUUUUUUUUUAUACUGUAUAUAUAUUACAUUUACUAACAAGUAAAACCUUGAGAUUUUGAUCCCAUGCAGUAUUUUGAUCUGUAAUUCGUGACUCGCUUCUGCUGAAAGGAAAUUCGGAAAAAACCAAUCAGUUUUGAUACUUGAACCUUAACUCAUACUUUAAAUUUAAAUACAAAAUAUUAAAUUUUAUUGUGGCAUUAAAUUAAAAAACAAAAAUACUGCUGCAGUAUUUAGACGAGAGCUGCAAUCACAUCAGAUCUGAACCAAUAUUCAGACUGCGUGUUUGAUGCGCUUAAUGCCAGCGCCCCUAUUUUUACAUACUGAUUGGCUUGGCUUGAUAAACUCUUCGAUCCGAAAAAUUCGGAUUUGGUGUGAAUGCCCAUUUAAGUAUAGCACAGGUGGGCAAAGUGUGGGCCGCUUGCAGCCUACCAGUGAUUUUUUUUUUGCGGCCCGCGAAAAUGAAUUAAAAACUCUAUGUGUGCGGCCCGCCAAGCAACAUUGGCUAGAAAACACCUUGUUUUUAUUGCCCGACACCGAUCAUAUAUAAAAAGUAAAAUUAAAACUGAGAAUAAAUUGGUGUAAAAGCAGUUCUGGGUUUUUUGAAAGUACACUGGAAACAACAAAGUUUGGGUGCGGCCCUCGGAGUUAAAUCAAAAAUUCACUUUCGCCCUCCGACCAAUUUUUAUGCCCACCCUUGAAGUAUAGUAACUUUGACUAGAAGUCCUCCCAUUAAAUCACCACGGGCAAAUUUUUGAAAGGAUGAUCUUUGUUAAUUUUAAUAGUGCUGCCAUCUAUUCAAGUGUUUUCUGAAAUCAAACAAUAAUGGCCAAAAAAAACCCCAAUAUUUCUCAGAUGAUACAUGGAGCUUGUGUGUUCAGUUCAGUAUAUUUUAUUGUGAUUUGUAAAAAAUAUUUUUUUACAUAGAAAUACAAUUGCAAGGGUCCACUCAUAAAUAAACAACAGAAAUAAUAAGUAAAAAUGUAACAAACCAGUUUGAUGCAGUGCCCCCGAACUUCACCCCUGUGUUCUAGAAUUUGUGGCGUAUCAAACUUAUUUAAAUAAGCACACAACAAUGGAGCUAUUGUGUUUAUUUAAACUAGUUUGAUGCUCCCCUAACCCCACCCUCUAUUCUUUAAUUAAUUAAUGAACUUGGUUAUGUAACUGCUUACUAUCAGUGUACUCUCUAUUAAGAUUAGGAACCUCAAUAGACUUAAUUUUACUGUCAGUCAGUUUAUUGUCUUGUAAGAUUAUAGCCAUGAACAGGCUUGUAAUUCUAUCAAAAUGAGGUGAAAUGAAUAUGAUGGUCUAUGUACUAUGGGAUUCAUAUCUUAAAUCUUUAACCUUUGUAAUUUAUAUCUGAUAUUUUACUUAUUUUCUGUAUUCAUAGAGAAUAUUUCAAUUGCAUUCAGCAUAUAAUGCAGUGAACACAAACUAAUAUUUUGUCAUAAUCAUCGUUUACUUUUAUUUCAUUUUUAAUUGUUGUUAUUUGUCAAUACUGUACUGUAUAUGAUUUUUGGUUUCUGUAAGUAAUGAUGUAGUGAGUUUGAUUGAAAAUGUUAACAAGAUUAAAUUACCUCUCCGAGUUUGAAGAGUUGAUUGUAUUGAGUAAAUAAAAUCUAAGAUUAUGAGAAAAAAAAA
rnacentral:lncRNA from 1 species